rnacentral:ncRNA from 1 species
UCGCCGGGAGUGCGUCACAGUGCACGGCGGGGCUUCGGCCCCGCCCGGCGU